CCCCUAGAUGUUCUGGGCCGCACGCGCGCUACACUGAACAGUUCAACAAGUCUUAACCUUGGCCGAUAGGUCUGGGUAAUCUUUGAACGCUGUUCGUGAUUGGGAUAGACCUUUGCAAUUAUGGGUCUUCAACGAGGAAUUCCUAGUAAACGCAAGUCAUCAGCUUGCAUUGAUUACGUCCCUGCCCUUUGUACACACCGCCCGUCGCUCCUACCGAUGAGCAAUCCGGUGAAUAAUUCGGACCGAUAGAUUACCUGGUUCGCCAGGUUUUUUGUUGGAAAGUCUAGUGAACCUUAUUGCUUAGAGGAAGGAGAAGUCGUANCA
rnacentral:rRNA from 1 species